rnacentral:rRNA from 1 species
UACGUAGGGGGCAAGCGUUGUCCGGAUUUAUUGGGCGUAAAGAGCGUGUAGGCGGCUAGAUAGGUCCGUUGUGAAAACUCGAGGCUCAACCUCGAGACGUCGAUGGAAACCAUCUGGCUAGAGUCCGGAAGAGGAGAGUGGAAUUCCCGGUGUAGCGGUGAAAUGCGCAGAUAUCGGGAAGAACACCCGUGGCGAAGGCGGCUCUCUGGGACGGUACUGACGCUGAGACGCGAAAGCGUGGGGAGCGAACGAGG